GACGAACGCUGGCGGCGUGCUUAACACAUGCAAGUCGAACGAUGAAGCCCAGCUUGCUGGGUGGAUUAGUGGCGAACGGGUGAGUAACACGUGGGCAACCUGCCCCAAACUCUGGGAUAACUCCUCGAAAGAGGUGCUAAUACCGGAUACGAACUAGACAGACAUCUGUACUAGUUGGAAAGUUUUUCGGUUUGGGAUGGGCCCGCGGCCUAUAAGCUUGUUGGUGAGGUAACGGCUGACCAAGGCUACGACGGGUAACCGGCAUGAGAGGGCGACCGGUCACACUGGGACUGGAGCACGGCCCAGACUCCUACGGGAGGCAGCAGUGGGGAAUAUUGCGCAAUGGGCGAAAGCCUGACGCAGCGACGCCGCGUGAGGGAUGAAGGUCUUCGGAUCGUAAACCUCUUUCAGUAGGGACGAAGCGAAAGUGACGGUACCUAAAGAAGAAGCACCGGCUAACUACGUGCCAGCCGCCGCGGUAA
rnacentral:rRNA from 1 species